rnacentral:ncRNA from 1 species
UUAUUUGCGUUGAUGGAGACAGUAUUUUUUGAGGGUAGAACUAGCGAUUCGAGGGUGGUGGAAGCUCGAACAAUGCGCUCGAAAAUGAAAAUCACUCCUGAGCUAAAUCGCUGAAAUGAGUAGGUGAUUUCGUCAUCACACGACGUUACAGUGUCUAAGAGGCAAGUUUAUGAUUGUUAAAACUUGCAAAUUAGGGUGGUACCACGAGAGCAAGCUCUUCGUCCCUUUG